ACCGAUCCGGAUAUGAAAAAAUCCGGAUAUCAAGACCAGUACUUCUUUUACAGUCUCUGAAACGUUUUCUCCUUCAUACAUUCCAGUAAUCAACGCCAUCAAUAAUUUUCGUCGAUAGACACGUUUUAUAGGUUCUAUAAUGCAUUAUUUCGCCAUCUUUUAGUUCUUCUUUUAGUGCGUUGUCCAACAGCAAGACUGCCUUUCUCGGUAGAUUUCGGUAGAUCCGGAUGGCGCAGAACCGUCUGGAUAUGGGGAGGUCCGGAUAUGACAGGUCCGGAUAUGGCAGGUUGUACUGUAAUAAGAAUUUUGUGAUUUGAUUCAGUAAACCAAUUUAUUGCAAGAUUCAUAUUUAGAUCUUUAGAAGAUAUAUCAAUAGAUAGUUUUACAUGACUUUGCCAACCAUGAAAUUUAUUAUUAAUAUUAUAGUGAGUGUAUUAGUAUAAUAGUUAUAAAAUACAUCAAUAGUUGACAUCAUAACUCUCCAUAAAUGUAUAAAAAUAUUGUUUUAAUAACUGAUACAAUCAUUCCUAUAAUCGCAGACUUAAUAAAAAAUUGUCAGACAUAUGAGUCUAUUUCAUAUUUCAACUAACAAACUUACCCCUUUGUGAUGGCAUAGACAUUAAUCAUUCAGCUAGUCAAAAUCAGAUUAUAGUUUAUUGUUAGUUCAAGAAAGUAAUGUGUAGUGUGUGUGUGUGUGUG
rnacentral:lncRNA from 1 species